rnacentral:rRNA from 1 species
UACAGAGGUCCCAAGCGUUGUUCGGAUUCACUGGGCGUAAAGGGUGCGUAGGUGGCGGAGUAAGUCCGAUGUGAAAGUCCCGGGCUCAACCCGGGAAAGUCAUUGGAAACUACUUCGCUAGAGGAUUGGAGAGGGGACGGGAAUUCUCGGUGUAGCAGUGAAAUGCGUAGAUAUCGAGAGGAACACCAGUGGCGAAGGCGAGUCCCUGGACAAUUCCUGACACUGAGGCACGAAAGCUGGGGGAGCAAACAGGAUUAGAUACCCUGGUAGUCCCAGCCCUAAACGGUGCACAUUUGCUGUGGGCGGAAUCGACCCCGUCCGUGGCGUAGCUAACGUGUUAAAUGUGCCGCCUGGGGAGUACGGCCGCAAGGCUAAAACUCAAAGAAAUUGACGGGGGCCUGCACAAGCGGUGGAGUAUGUGGCUUAAUUCGAUGCAACGCGAAGAACCUUACCUGGCCUUGACAUGCAGGUGGUAAAAGCCUGAAAGGGCGAUGACCCCGCAAGGGGAGCCUGCACAGGUGCUGCAUGGCUGUCGUCAGCUCGUGUCGUGAGAUGUUGGGUUAAGUCCCGCAACGAGCGCAACCCUCAUGUUUUGUUGCCACUCCCGCUUCGGCGGGAAGCACUCUAAACAGACCGCCCCGCUUAAACGGGGAGGAAGGUGGGGAUGACGUCAAGUCAGUAUGGCCCUUACGGCCAGGGCUGCACACGUACUACAAUGCCCGCUACAAUGGGAAGCAAUACCGCAAGGUGGAGCCAAUCCCCAAAAGCGGGCUCAGUUCAGAUUGUCGGCUGCAACUCGCCGGCAUGAAGCUGGAAUCGCUAGUAACGGCGCAUCAGCAACGGCGCCGUGAAUACGUUCCCAGGCC